UCGCACCUACCGAUUGAAUGGUCCGGUGAAGACUCGGGAUUGUGACUGGUGCCUUUAUUGGUGUUGGUCGCGAGAACUUGUCUAAACCUUAUCAUCUAGAGGAAGGUG
rnacentral:rRNA from 1 species